GCCCGGCUGGCUCAAUGGUAGAGCAUCAGACUUCUAAGUCACGAAUCCACCGAGUGGAUACCUGCUUAUGUAAUCUGGAGGUUGCGGGUUCGAGUCCCGCGUCGGGUU
rnacentral:tRNA from 1 species